CCGGCCCGGACUGUACGACCAGCCCAAGCCAGAGCAGGAGGACCGCUUGCAGGGCAGAAUGGCCACAUCCCCGGCCCUGGCAAAGACGUACGUGUGCUGGCCGCUAAUGACUGCAAGACACCACAGAGGGAAAACAGUAAGCCUCAGACCCACUUGUAGGUCUUGGUGUGAUCCAGCCACAGGCCACAGAGAAUGGAGCCCACCAUGCCAGCCACCACCAACAUCAGCCCGAUCCUCCCCGCGUUCAACUCUUCAUUCUGACCAACAGACAAAAUAAACGUGUUGUUGUUAAAUGUUUGCUUUAAGUGUGUUUGUGUCUUCACGUGUGGGUGCGUGAGAAUGUCCGUUGCCGUGAGCAGCAGGAAAGUCCGAUAACAGCAACAAUAAUCUCAUGUCAUGAAGGCCUUCAAUUUUAAUAGUUUCAAUAAAGUGUAUAAUACUGCAUGACAAAAAAAAAGAAUACCAAAUUGACUUCUCAACCUCAUAUUAUGCCUAUUAUUCUGUUUUGUUAAAUUUACAUGAGUUUGAAGAGUUUUAGUACCAGCUCUUUAUCGCAGAUUGUCACGGUUCCUGGGUGUGUUUAGGACGUGUCUCAUGUUGCAAUAAAUACUUUCCUGUAAUGUCAA